rnacentral:rRNA from 1 species
AUUGAACGCUGGCGGAAUGCUUUACACAUGCAAGUCGAACGGCAGCACGGGGGCAGCCCUGGUGGCGAGUGGCGAACGGGUGAGUAAUACAUCGGAACGUGCCCGGUCGUGGGGGAUAACGUAGCGAAAGUUACGCUAAUACCGCAUACGAUCUGAGGAUGAAAGCGGGGGACCUUCGGGCCUCGCGCGAUCGGAGCGGCCGAUGCCAGAUUAGGUAGUUGGUGGGGUAAAGGCCCACCAAGCCGACGAUCUGUAGCUGGUCUGAGAGGACGACCAGCCACACUGGGACUGAGACACGGCCCAGACUCCUACGGGAGGCAGCAGUGGGGAAUUUUGGACAAUGGGCGCAAGCCUGAUCCAGCCAUUCCGCGUGCAGGACGAAGGCCUUCGGGUUGUAAACUGCUUUUGUACGGAACGAAAAGGCUCUGGCUAAUACCUGGGGCUCAUGACGGUACCGUAAGAAUAAGCACCGGCUAACUACGUG